UGGGCAUCCGCAGCCUCAUGCCGUGGACUGUACUGCAGGUGUUCAUGGGGACUUACAGACACCGUCCACAAGGGGCAGUGUUGAAUCACAAAUUCCUUCCAGCUCCAGCCAGGUUGACACAGCAGUCGGUGCAUGAAAAAGGGAAAAAAAAGAAAGACGAGCUUCAUGGGAAUAACACAGUCGCACAGAACGGGGUCGAGGUGCAUUCUGUUCGAGUGGAGACAGGUGCAUGACGAUCGAUUCUUUACUUUGCCGAAGAACGGAAAAACCUCUUCAGAGGAACAUAAUGAGGAGAGGUGACGCUUAACGGCGGCGCGCCAUAAUUGAUAAGAAAUUUGAAAUGCGUACGCCUUUGAUUCAACACAUUGUCUUUCUUUCUUUCCCGCUGUGAAAAUGUCAUAAUCAAAGCUCGGAGGCCCACGCGUCACUCAUCAGCGCUGCGUUUGAAUGUAUUUUCCUUUCACUUCCUCGCAGUGUUGACACGGACUCUGCAGUCAGUAAUACAACUUGUCCUCCUUUGAAGAUGCUCGUGCAAACCGUCCUCACUGCUCUGAAAGACGACGGCGCGGUUCAAAAAAUACUCCUUUGAUCUGCCAGUGCAACUCUUAAAGACAAUGCGGCGGCUUUCUGAAGACGAAGAACGUACCACAGAGCACGUGGUCGACACUUUGGCCCCUUUAAAAAGCCAAAAGAGACAUUUUUCUGCUACUUGAAUCAUAAUAGAGGCUUGUGCCCGCGCUGUGUUCACAGUCUGACCUGUAUGCAAAUGCGGCGUCCUUGGGGAGGUUAUGGUGUGUACUUGAGGUGUCGUCACAAAUGCGGCUCUGAAAUAUUGAAAAAUGAACUUGGGUUUUUUCACAGCUUUCUACACACUGGUGUGUGUCAGCGUGUCAGCGGGAGUCUCUUUGAAGGUGAAGCCUUUUGAGUGGGAAACACUCUCCCUGUAUGGAAAAAGAAUGGCUGCAAUAAGUUUGCAGUUUGAUUCUCGAAGUGUUCAGUAAAAAAAAUUCAGUUUGUCCAAUUUUAUUUUACUUACGCUAAGACUGUACUUAUUUCCAAGGCAGAAACUGUAUUUUUGUUUUACGCCAUUUAGUCGUAGUUACACUUCAUUUGUUCAUGUUCCAAAUCAUUUCUACCUUGACCAGAACAUUGAAAUGCAAAUUUAUGCAUCAGCCAUUGAGACAAUAAGAAUAUAUGGAAGAAAUAAAACCCCUACAAGUUAAACAUUCUAAUACAUUCUAUGACUUGGUAAAUGGUUUGGUGGGCCGCCUCCUGUUAUUCCUGAGACCCGCGGCGAAUGUUAGCAUUUCUUCAUGUGUCCUCUCUUUCCUCUUAUUGAUUUUUUUUCUCUUUUGGACAUCCAGAUUCAUGCAAAUAUAUGCAGGCUGCAUUUGAAAGUUGUUCUUACCACGAACACUUCUGUACUUUCACUCAUAGACUUACUUAAAUAACUUGUUAUCUGAGGUUUUGUCACAGUGACUUCCACCCAAAGGAAGAGUUCAGACGUUUUGAGAAAAGGUACACUCAUUUGUUGUGAGGCGUUAGUGCUAAGCUAGGAUAAUUGGCUGCAGGCUGUAGAUUCAUAAUUAGUUUACAGACUCCUUUUUUUUUAAAAAUUUGGGCAGAAACACUCUGUCAGAGCUCUUACAAAAUGAUUACAUUCGGCACAGAUUUAGCAAGGAUCGAGCAGUUCUGACCAGCCAAAGGAGAGGAAACCAUGAAGUGCACAAAGAGACACGGUUCAACACCUCCAGCCCGCACCAGAGGAAAGACUAUGGAUGAUUUUGAUUUCCUUUGACCAUAUGUUUGAAGAGGGUAUAGCUUUGAAAACAACAGAGAGCAUCAAGGUGAGGGGAUUCUUGUCAUAUCAGUUAGGAUGAGUUUAUGCUGCACAUGGACAUGUACGGUAUAAAGACCUUCCAUCUUGCACUUGAGAAGAAAACAGACGCCCUUCCUAGGAAGCCGUUGAUGUUUAUUAGGUCAUGUUGUCAUGCUGCAGUGUUAUGACAGUGCCGGAUGAACUUUUGUCCACCAAUUCCCCGGUUGGUUUUUAAGCUUGCCCACAGACUGUGCCCUCUUUUUAUGGGCUCGUAGAUUGCUAGGAAACACAUCAAUCUCCUGUGUGCGCGAUCCAGUACGUCUUCCCCCACCGUGCGGCGUGACCCCAUUGGCCUCCCUCUAGUGUCCACUGGGUUGCUCAUGUCUAUGUUCCCGCAGCUCCGCUGCCCUGGUUAUUAAAGAGCACCGGGCGAUAUCCACCCUCACCUUUCUUUCUCCGUCCACACGCCCUCGCUCACUUCAUCCCCGCCUCCCCCGACCCGUCCCUCAAUUUCUCUUUUUCACCGCACUUGCGCCUGAAAUAGCACUGAAGGUUGCCGCUCUGCUGUUCCUGUUCCGCUGCACACCCACAUCCCCGCGUUCACCGGCUACACACCGACCCUACCUGCGAAGCCUUGGAGGAUGGCAGGCCGGCCCACAAGUGGAGAGGUUGACUAAUUAAUGAGUGUGAGGGAUUUUUUCGUGUUCAUUCCGGGCAGAAGGAUUGUGCUUCAGGCCCCGAACUCCAACACGGCGGAUCGUCUGGUGUUUACUCACUUCCUCAGAAAACAGAUGUCCAAGCGACCUACCUCCAUUAAGCAGGGCUCCUCAGGAGUAUAACUCAGUGCUGCUCCAGAACCCUGCCCAGCCUCCAGACAUCAGGCCCAGCCCUCACCAUUCCUUCUGGCCAGACUCUGGACCUGCGAAGCGGACUCGGAGACUGUGACGGCAGGGCAACAGGCCAAGGCCGGCUCUAUCUUCAUAUUACUCCCGCUGGAGGUGGGAGAGUGCGAGCUGGACACUGCCCAUCCCUCUGCUGGAAGCCGAGACAUCCCGGAAACAGGAGCUGCCAUCUUGCCCCUGGAGCCAGAGUCGUGCUAUCGAGGAUCUAGGAAAACGCUCAAGGAAUCACGGUUCCACUGUAAUACCACGAUGGUCCUGAGGGGGACUUGCAUUUCAGCUAGAGGAAGACAGGUGGAAAAGUGCCACGAUGCAGACAAAAGGGAAUGAAAAUGGACACAGCCAGGCAAUGGAGUCGAGAGGUGGAGGAGUGAGGGAAAAAGCAGAGUGACAGGAGGUGCAGCAGAUGUUAAACGAACGAUGUGAAGACGCGGCAAAUAACAUCAGCGCGCCGUCUCUCUGGCUGUCAUACUGCCUUGUAUCUGUUUUUUUUUAUUUUGUGUUGUGUUUCCCCUUUUCUGCCUGUUAGACUUUGUCUGUUAGGUUUGUUUGCACUGCAGUCACCAUGUGCCAGGUUUGCGCAAAGCAGAGGACCGAGCUCAGCAUCUGUAUUCAGGUGCACUAAUGGAAUCACUGAGGCUAAAAUGGCAGGAGGUGAAAGGUGAGUGCACAGAGAACAGCAGACAGCUCAACACCACCACUGCUGCUGUCGCUCUGCCAAACCACUCGACUGUGAUGGCCUGGAAAGUGUGUGUGUGUGCUUGUGUGUUUGUGCUUGUGUGUUUGUGUGUAUGUGUAUGCAAGAGUAUGUGGGAGGCAAGGCCAAUUAGAGAGGUGCAGAUAAUGAAAAGUGUUGCGAUCAAUUUUUUUUGUUCACAUUCAUCUUUUCUUAGUUAUUCUCUGCUGUGGGUUUUUGAAAGAUUUAGCUUUUAGGAAUGUGUGCUGGGAGUAGCUCUGACAAAAUAUCUAUUGACUUUUAGAAGUAUGCUAGGCUUUUCUGUCUUUUCUCAAUACAGAGGCUUUACUGAAGGUGUGGUACAGUUUGGGCAGACAUGCUUAAGACCCUCAAACGAUAAGUUCAGAUUGUACAAUCAGUUAAAAUUCAUUUUCAUAAUUCCUCCUCUCCGUACUAGCCACAAGGAGACCUUUUCAAGAGCUGUAUGAAAUGAUUGGACACAAUGUUCAGACUUCUUUCUUCAUCGCAUAUUUGCAAAAUAGGUAUUUAAAUAUGAUCUACUGCUUUGUCUGCAUGUAUGUUUGCUGGCUAGCAAUAUUACUUCUCACUGCAUUGGUGCAUUAUUAUGUUUCCUCUCCCCUGCAAACUGUUGAUCAGCAGAAUAGCCUGAAGCCCUGCAGCAGCAGGAGGUAAAUCACGUGGCUGAUCUCUGACUCAUUUGGAGCUGCAACUAAUUACUGUGUUCAUUAACAACUGAUCUUGUGAUUAUAUUGUUGAUUCAUUGAUUAAUCAUUUAAUCUAUAAAAAUGUCAAAACAAA